GAUCACUGUCCCUAACCUCAAGAUCUAGGUGGGGAAACAAGCAGCUGACCCCAAUGAAGAGGAGACACAAGAAGGAGCUGAACAUCUGGUACUUUCUCUGAACUGCUAUCUGGGGCUCAGCCUGGGUUUUGUUCUUUGGAUGAAAUAUCUAUGGCAGCUACCUUCAGAGUCCAGAUGCAUUUGACAUAACGGAGGUCCUAGUCAGUGGCAUGAGGAAAGUCGACUGGGCCUCAGACAUAAAAGAAAAGCACACAAGCUUUUGGCAGAGUAUAAGGGA